CCUACGGGAGGCAGCAGUGAGGAAUAUUGGUCAAUGGGCGAAAGCCUGAACCAGCCAAGUCGCGUGAGGGAUGACGGCCCUACGGGUUGUAAACUUCUUUUGUCAGGGAGCAAUUGGGUCCACGUGUGGGCUUAGCGAGAGUACCUGAAGAAAAAGCAUCGGCUAACUCCGUGCCAGCAGCCGCGGUAAUAAGGAGGAUGCGAGCGUUAUCCGGAUUUAUUGGGUUUAAAGGGUGCGUAGGCGGAAUAUCAAGUCAGCGGUAAAAAUUCGGGGCUCAACCCCGACGUGCCGUUGAAACUGAUGUUCUUGAGUGGGCGAGAAGUAUGCGGAAUGCGUGGUGUAGCGGUGAAAUGCAUAGAUAUCACGCAGAACUCCGAUUGCGAAGGCAGCAUACCGGCGCCCAACUGACGCUGAAGCACGAAAGCGUGGGUAGCGAACAGGAUUAGAUACCCCAGUAGUC
rnacentral:rRNA from 1 species